rnacentral:rRNA from 1 species
CCUACGGGAGGCUGCAGUAAGGAAUAUUGGUCAAUGGAGGGAACUCUGAACCAGCCAUGCCGCGUGCAGGAUGAAAGCCCUCUGGGUUGUAAACUGCUUUUAACAGGGAAGAAAAUGCUAUACGUGAUAUAGUACUGACGGUACCUGAGGAAUAAGCACCGGCUAACUCCGUGCCAGCAGCCGCGGUAAUACGGAGGGUGCAAGCGUUAUCCGGAAUCACUGGGUUUAAAGGGUGCGUAGGCGGUUUUAUAAGUCAGUGGUAAAAGGUUGUAGCUCAACUAUAAGAGGUCCAUUGAUACUGUAAGACUUGAAUCGAGUUGAGGUUGGCGGAAUGAGACAUGUAGCGGUGAAAUGCUUAGAUAUGUCAUAGAACACCAAUUGCGAAGGCAGCUGACUAGACUUAGAUUGACGCUGAGGCACGAAAGCGUGGGUAGCGAACAGGCUUAGAUACCCCAGUAGUC